CAACCGCCACGGGAAUACGUAGGGUGCAAGCGUUAAUCGGAAUUACUGGGCGUAAAGCGUGCGCAGGUGGUUUAAUAAGUCUGAUGUGAAAGCCCACGGCUCAACCGUGGAGGGUCAUUGGAAACUGUUAAACUUGAGUGCAGGAGAGAGAAGUGGAAUUCCUAGUGUAGCGGUGAAAUGCGUAGAGAUUAGGAGGAACACCAGUGGCGAAGGCGGCUUUUUGGCCUGUAACUGACACUGAGGCGCGAAAGCGUGGGGAGCAAACAGGAUUAGAUACCCCUGUAGUCCCUGUCUCUUAUAC
rnacentral:rRNA from 1 species